CAGCAGCCACGGUAAUACGAAGGGGGCUAGCGUUGUUCGGAAUUACUGGGCGUAAAGCGCACGUAGGCGGAUAUUUAAGUCAGGGGUGAAAUCCCGCAGCUCAACUGCGGAACUGCCUUUGAUACUGGGUAUCUUGAGUAUGGAAGAGGUAAGUGGAAUUCCGAGUGUAGAGGUGAAAUUCGUAGAUAUUCGGAGGAACACCAGUGGCGAAGGCGGCUUACUGGUCCAUUACUGACGCUGAGGUGCGAAAGCGUGGGGAGCAAACAGGAUUAGAUACCCCAGUAGUCCCUGUCUCUUAUAC
rnacentral:rRNA from 1 species